GACGAACGCUGGCGGCGUGCUUAACGCAUGCAAGUCGAACGGAAAGGCCCUGCUUUUGUGGGGUGCUCGAGUGGCGAACGGGUGAGUAACACGUGAGUAACCUGCCCUUGACUUUGGGAUAACUUCAGGAAACUGGGGCUAAUACCGGAUAGGAGCUCCUGCUGCAUGGUGGGGGUUGGAAAGUUUCGGCGGUUGGGGAUGGACUCGCGGCUUAUCAGCUUGUUGGUGGGGUAGUGGCUUACCAAGGCUUUGACGGGUAGCCGGCCUGAGAGGGUGACCGGCCACAUUGGGACUGAGAUACGGCCCAGACUCCUACGGGAGGCAGCAGUGGGGAAUAUUGCACAAUGGGCGGAAGCCUGAUGCAGCAACGCCGCGUGCGGGAUGACGGCCUUGGGGUUGUAAACCGCUUUCGCCUGUGACGAAGCGUGAGUGACGGUAAUGGGUAAAGAAGCACCGGCUAACUACGUG
rnacentral:rRNA from 1 species